rnacentral:rRNA from 1 species
GACGAACGCUGGCGGCGUGCCUAAUACAUGCAAGUCGAACGCAGUGGGGACGGGUGAGUAACACGUGGGUAACCUCCCAUCAGAGGGGAUAACACUUGGAAACAGGUGCUAAACCGAUACUGAUGGAUGGACCCGCGGUGCAUUAGCUAGUUGGUGAGGGAACGGCUCACCAAGGCCAAGAUGCAUAGCCGACUUGAGAGGAUGAUCCGCGACACUGGGGCGGAGACACGGACCAGACUCCUACGGGAGGCAGCAGUAGGGAAUCUUCGGAAAUGGACGUAAGUCGGACCGAGUCAGGCCGCGUGAGGGAAGAAGGUUUUCGGAUGGUAAAACUCUGUUGUUAGGGAAGCGGUAUCUAACCAGAAAGCCACGGCUAACUACAUGCCAGCAGCCGCGGGAAUUC